UCAAUCUGGUGAGCAUAUGAGGCUGCAGUACUGGGUUUAUGCUAAGAAGUUAGACUGUUUGCUGAUUAAUUCGUGUCAAAUAGUAGCAGUUUUCUAAUCCAAGUUCAUUUGAUUUUGUAGGGCAGGGGGAGAUCCAAUACCAAGAUUUAUGAUUUGACAUGAAUAGGGAGAUAGCCCUCCGUGUCCUGGAGGUCACUGUAGGCUGCAGCGAAGGGCACACUGCAAUUAGCGGGCACACGGAUGCAGUGAUCCUGCAUAAGCUUUGCUGUGUUGAUUUCUUGUCAAGGACGCUGCUGUCCAAGCCUUUCCUCUGCCUUGAUUAGUGGUACUUCUCUCCCAUUCAACAUGUUUCACUAAUUUAUUUGAUUAUUGAGUGAUAUGACCUAAUUAAUCUGUACUUGGACACACAGCCAAAGAGUAGCAUGCAAACUUUGUACUCUCUCCGUCCCAAAAUUCUUGUCUUAGAUUUGUUCAAGUAUGGAUGUAUCUACUUACGUUUUAGUGUUAGAUACGUCCAUAUCUAGACAAAUUUAAGACAAGAAUUUUGGGACGAAGGGAGUACAAGACAGUCUGACCUAGCACUUGGUAAUGAGAUGAAAUAUGUUCGGUAAUGCAAGCAUUUUUGUAGGGAAUCACUGACACCAUGAACCUAUUUGUAAAGCAGAGGAUGAAGCGUUCAUUCAAUUUAUAGAUUGAGAAAUGAAAUAGGUAGCGGAGCAAUUGAUAAGUAGGGAGUGAGGCAUUGAUCAACAAUUGAUAAAGCAGGGAAAUGAGGCGAGGCAUUGAUCCCAAUUAUCCAUGGGAAACGGAAGAGAGGCAACAAUUUCAGAGAAUAAGAAGGCCACCGUGCAGAUCUUGGGUACAAUUAAUAUUCAGAGAUAGUAUAGAGCUGCCCAUGUGUGUAAAACAACGGAGACAAGGCAUAGACAUAGGUGAUACUAUACUACUCUGUCCGGCAUGGUACAUACUAACUUUUUCUCUCCCUAGGUCCUUCCCCUACUUAUUCUUGUUGACAAUGCACUUUGUCGAAUUAUUAUUGCCAAGGCUUCAAUUGUAAGGAAAGGAUUUUUCUGUA